AUAGUACACUCUUGAGGAUCUUUUCUGAAGCGAAAUGUUGUUUAGAUUGGAUGGGAAAUGUUGCAAAUUCAGUUUAAUAUUACAUUGAUCAGAUAAGAUUGAGAUAGUUUCAUGCAUUCAGUGACAAAGCUUUUUGAGUGAUAUGACAAAAGCAAUUGAUAAUGUAAGAAAUCACUGAGAAUUGUACACAGCCAUGGCAUGGUGGACGAGAGCAUUUGCUAUAUGCCGAAAACAAUGAGAAACUGAUUUGACCAUGUGCACAGGUAACACCAGGAAGUCACAAUUGAACAAAGACUUUUGAGAAUCAUUAUUCUGUUGUGAGAAAUGUACAAAACCAAUUGAGAAAAACUGUAAUAGUCUUGCUGCACAUGAGGACAUGUGUCUGUGUUUUGACAGACGAAGGUGUAUUUGGGGAAAAGGUGUAUUUGGGGAAAUGGUUUGCACCCUAAAUAUGUGCCCUAUGAACAGACAUAAUUGGGUCUGUGGCAGGGUCUCUUUAAGGGGUGAGGAAGCAGCAUUUGGUUUGGGCACCCUGGUGGCCAGACCCGAACAUACACACAAACGCAACACAAAAGCUUAGUGUUAUUUCUAUGAGGAAGUUAUGGGGGGAUUCCAGCAAGCUGGUUUUGAUUUCUUCCUUCAAUACCCCCUCCGAGUACAUGGUAAACCUCCUAAUAGAAGAGCCAAAUUACUUUUCCUUCCGUAAUAAUAAAGCCAAAAGCAUCUUCUAUUCGGAGAUUUAUGAUUUACUUGGCACCAUCUCUCUUGAUGCAUGACAUGGUUUGUUCAACUCAGCCCCAGAGUACGUUUUUAAAACAUUUGUUGUUUAGCUUUGAAUUCAGGCAUACAGUUCAGUGAGGAUUGACAUGAUGGUAUUUUACAACUUACCAUCCUUCAAUUAAGUUGCACAUUCAAACACAGAUAAACACACAAAGAUGCACACACGUCCACACACACACACACACACGCAACUACAGACUAGGCUCAAAAUCCAUACACUCAGUGACAUACACACUCACAGACACAAAAGUGCAUAGCACACUCACAUCAUAACAAGGUCACCUUCAGAAGUAGCAUUUUGUUUUCGUCAAUAAAAAAAUAUUCAUGUAGGCUCUCAGUAACGUCUGGGAAAACUUUGGAAUUCACAAAAACACCUAUUCCUAAUAGCUGAUAAUAGAACAAAAACUAGUUGGCCUAUGUAAAAACUAUUCUUGUAGUGUAAUGCGUAACUCAAAGUUUGCAGUUCAGCAAAAUGGAAUGGUGAAUUCUUACCCUCUAACCACAGGAUUGAAACGGGAAUGUUUCACAUUUUCUUUUUUUUUGGUGAAUUGUUGAAAUUGAUCUGAAGCCCUAAUGAGGUACAACUACUGUACACUGUUCUUCAUUAAGCUUAUUGUAAUAUUUACAUUCACAUCAGUACCACAGGCAUUAAGAUAACGAGAAAAAGAAUCUCCCAAAAUCAGAAAUCUGUCACUGUUUAAGAAAGUGCUGCAUAGAAGUCAGUUGAAAAAAAUGAGGCGACCCACUCUUGAGUGGCAGAACAAUUACACGCAGGGCCCCAGGGCAAAACACUGAUAGCCCCCCCCCCCCCCCCCCAUACGGCCUACCAAAGUCAUAAUACGGCCCCCACCAACAACAAGAGAGGCCCCUGAGCCCAGGGCCAAAUGCCCUGCUCAUCCCCCCCUAAACUUUCACCCCUUCCAUUCUGCAUCCUGUGAUGCUGGUUUCACUUAGCAAUGCCAUAAAUGUUCUUAGCAUACAUGGACUUGUGAAGCAUAACCCUGAUUUGCAUGUUCUGGCCUCAUUUU